rnacentral:tRNA from 1 species
GUUACACUUUAAUAUAAGAUGUAUAUUAACUUUUGAUGUUAAAAGCAAUAGUUUAAUCUAUUAAGUGUAU